CCUACGGGUGGCUGCAGUGGGGAAUAUUGCACAAUGGGCGCAAGCCUGAUGCAGCGACGCCGCGUGGGGGAUGACGGCCUUCGGGUUGUAAACCUCUUUCAGUAUCGGCGAAGCUCCGGGAUUUUUCUUGGGGUGACGGUAGGUACAGAAGAAGCACCGGCCAACUACGUGCCAGCAGCCGCGGUAAUACGUAGGGUGCGAGCGUUGUCCGGAAUUACUGGGCGUAAAGGGGUCUUAGGUGGUUUGUCACGAAAACUCACAGCUUAACUGUGGGCGUGCGGGCGAUACGGGCAGACUGGAGUACUGUAGGGGAGACUGGAAUUCCUGGUGUAGCGGUGGAAUGCGCAGAUAUCAGGAGGAACACCGGUGGCGAAGGCGGGUCUCUGGGCAGUAACUGACGCUGAGGAGCGAAAGCGUGGGGAGCGAACAGGAUUAGAUACCCUAGUAGUC
rnacentral:rRNA from 1 species